rnacentral:rRNA from 1 species
UACGAAGGGUGCAAGCGUUACUCGGAAUUACUGGGCGUAAAGCGUGCGUAGGUGGUUUGUUAAGUCUGAUGUGAAAGCCCUGGGCUCAACCUGGGAAUUGCAUUGGAUACUGGCAGGCUAGAGUGCGGUAGAGGAUGGCGGAAUUCCCGGUGUAGCAGUGAAAUGCGUAGAGAUCGGGAGGAACAUCUGUGGCGAAGGCGGCCAUCUGGACCGAGAUUGACGCUGAUGCGCGAAAGCCAGGGGAGCAAACGGG